CAUUAACGAGUUCUGGGUCCUUCGGGGCCC
rnacentral:rRNA from 2 species